UACGGAGGAUGCGAGCGUUAUCCGGAUUUAUUGGGUUUAAAGGGUGCGUAGGCGGGGAGCCAAGUCAGCGGUAAAAUCGUGGGGCUCAACCCCAUCCCGCCGUUGAAACUGGUUUUCUUGAGUGGAUGAGAAGUAUGCGGAAUGCGUGGUGUAGCGGUGAAAUGCAUAGAUAUCACGCAGAACUCCGAUUGCGAAGGCAGCAUACCGGCAUCCAACUGACGCUGAAGCACGAAGGCGUGGGUAUCAAACAGG
rnacentral:rRNA from 1 species